CCUACGGGAGGCAGCAGUGGGGAAUAUUGGACAAUGGGGGCAACCCUGAUCCAGCCAUGCCGCGUGUGUGAAGAAGGCCCUCGGGUUGUAAAGCACUUUCAGUGAGGAAGAACGCCUGGUGGUUAAUACCCAUCAGGAAAGACAUCACUCACAGAAGAAGCACCGGCUAACUCCGUGCCAGCAGCUGCGGUAAUACGGAGGGUGCGAGCGUUAAUCGGAAUUACUGGGCGUAAAGCGCGCGUAGGUGGCUUGAUAAGCCGGUUGUGAAAGCCCCGGGCUCAACCUGGGAACGGCAUCCGGAACUGUCAAGCUAGAGUGCAGGAGAGGAAGGUAGAAUUCCCGGUGUAGCGGUGAAAUGCGUAGAGAUCGGGAGGAAUACCAGUGGCGAAGGCGGCCUUCUGGACUGACACUGACACUGAGGUGCGAAAGCGUGGGUAGCAAACAGGAUUAGAUACCCGAGUAGUC
rnacentral:rRNA from 1 species